UAUUUCGUCAAAUGACCAGUGCUUAUUUUUUUCAGAAGAUGUUAGAAGACAAUAAGCUCUGAACUACGUGCUCUGACUUGGAUCUUGACAUUAAAAGUACAAGACUCGAGUCAAAGCUGUGCUCGGUGUUGGCUGAGGGAUGUGGCCCGGUGAGACAGACGGCAGGGCGAGGGUGAGAGAUCUGAGCUCGCUUCAAGCAGCGAGCAGAGGAGCAAGCAGCAGCCCAGCCGUCCACCGCAAAGCCCGGGGCAAGCCGGGGCAGCUCGCCAGCGCCGUGCCUUCCCUCUGUGCCUGGAGCACAGGCUUCUCCUGCAAAGGUUGGGAAGAGGGAUUCUCCCUGCGGGGAGAAAGACGAAAAACGAGGGAUGCGCAUAAUUAUAUGGCAACUUUGUUGAUUUUCCUGGAAAUGCUACCUGACAGCUAGUCGUGCCGGGCACGCCGUGGUUUGUCCCUUCAUCUCUGCCAUCUGCUCGGGGCGGUUGCCCUCGUCCCUGCGCACGCCCGAAAGAAGAAAUGUCGUUGUCUUCGUUCUGCUGCGUUUCGUGGGCAACGCCUGAWCCCCCUGUGCCACUGCCGCCUGCGCUGGGCUGCUGUCACAGGCUGCUGAGAAGACGUGACUUGAAGGAGACGUAGACGUGGACCUCGCUGGGAGGUGCACGACACCCCGCAACACUUCGGUUCAGCUCCUCAGUUAGAAAUCCCAUUUGAGGCUAACCAAGAAACCAAAAAACGUGAGGUUUGAAGAAACCUUGAUCUGUCUCAUGCACAGGUGAGACAAAGUGGCCGUGGGACUCGUACUCCAAAAUUCGCAGCAGCAGACUCUUUAAUACUGUUGACACAUGUACUAUAAUUUACUGCUUUCUCAUAAUGAAACACGUUCAGAUGCUGGUGAAAAAAAACCUUCAACCUGUUUUGACCCUGUGAAAGGUCAAAAGAAAAAGCUAGCUGAUUCAACACUGCUUUUUUUCCCAAGGAUAAUGAUCCAGCACAGAAGAAAACAGCAGGACUGGAGCCAAGGAGAGGAGCAGAGCGAGCGAGUAACGACAGCACAAAUCAGCAGUAAAGAAGCAGUCUGCUGCAGCACCUGCACCGAGGGCCCGGGGCCGGGGCGGAGAGCGGCAGAGGGAUCGCGUGGGGAGCACCAUAUGCACCGAGCGCUAAAAGGCUGGCGGCAGCGAUUUACGCUGUCCUAUAGAUCGGCGGAAAUGUGCCUGUCCUUGAGGAAGGUCAAAGAGAGAGAGGAAUUUCUGAGUCUGCUGAGCCUGUUCCAGAAGAAAAUAUAUUGUGUAGCUGGAAGCAAAACCGGUCRUUAAAGCCAUCACAUGGGAGGCAGGGCCCAGAUUAAGGGCCCUUCACUGAGUCAGACAGAUGGUAGGUUAUUGUUUUCUGGGUUUG
rnacentral:lncRNA from 1 species